rnacentral:rRNA from 1 species
CAGUAGCCACGGUAAUACAGAGGGUGCGAGCGUUAAUCGGAUUUACUGGGCGUAAAGCGUGCGUAGGCGGCUUCUUAAGUCGGAUGUGAAAUCCCUGAGCUUAACUUAGGAAUUGCAUUCGAUACUGGGAAGCUAGAGUAUGGGAGAGGAUGGUAGAAUUCCAGGUGUAGCGGUGAAAUGCGUAGAGAUCUGGAGGAAUACCGAUGGCGAAGGCAGCCAUCUGGCCUAAUACUGACGCUGAGGUACGAAAGCAUGGGGAGCAAACAGGAUUAGAGACCCGGGUAGUCCCUGUCUCUUAUAC